GAUGAACGCUGGCGGCGUGCCUAAUACAUGCAAGUCGAGCGACAAGACGAGGAGCUUGCUCCUCUAACGUUAGCGGCUGACGGGUGAGUAACACGUGGAUAACCUACCUAUUAGACUGGGAUAACUUCGGGAAACCGGUGCUAAUAACGGCUCAUAUAUUGAACCGCAUGGUUCAAUAGUGAAAGACGGUUUUGCUGUCACUUAUAGAUGGAUCCGCGCCGCAUUAGCUAGUUGGUAAGGUAACGGCUUACCAAGGCAACGAUGCGUAGCCGACCUGAGAGGGUGAUCGGCCACACUGGAACUGAGACACGGUCCAGACUCCUACGGGAGGCAGCAGUAGGGAAUCUUCCGCAAUGGGCGAAAGCCUGACGCAGCAAUGCCGCGUGAGUGAUGAAGGUCUUCGGAUCGUAAAACUCUUUUAUUAGGGAAGAACAAAUGUGGAAGUAACUAUGCACGUCUUGACGGUACCUAAUCAGAAAGCCACGGCUAACUACGUG
rnacentral:rRNA from 1 species